GUAAUAACUUAAUGUCUUUACAGGGCUAAAGUACAGUCUUUUUCCCAGUAUUCAGAUUUACCUUGCCUAUCUGAAGGAGUUCUACAGUUUCACCAAUUUGCAUUCAAACCCCUCAAAUUAACAGAUGUAAAGUCAAGAAGUCCAAGAUCAGGGUGUCAUCCCAGCUGGAUCCCCGAGAGGAAACUCUUCCUGAACUCAAGAUGGUGUCUUCUUAGUGUCCUCAUGUGCCAAGGAGGAAGACAGAUAAAGAAACUGUCAAUAAAGUGCCCACCUCCUCAACCCCUAUCUAAUGAGCUAACAAAGAAUCCAGAGGCCAUCCAGAGAUUAAAAUGCAUCACGAAGACUGAGAAACCAACCCUGUAUGCGAUACUCGAGGCCAGCUAGAAGAAUGUUGUUAACUAGAAGUAUAAGACAAUGGAAGAUUGUCUAACUAGAAAUACAAGACUAACAACUUGGGGCCAGGGAGGUGUCUGGUCUAUGAAGGCAACUUCCCUUAGUUUACCAAUACACAAUAAAACGGUGUUCUGAAUGUACUUAGGAAACUAACUUGAAGUACUUAAAUAAAAUCAUAUCCAAAUAA